UAAAAGGCAAUACAUAUAAUAUCAGCUUAAGUAUCUGAAUAUUUUUAACGUGAACAAGGACGGGUGAAUGAGAAAAUAGAAUUAUGAAAGAAAGUGGUAUUGAGAAAAUAUGGUGGUGGUUGUUUAGGAAAGCUCUACAAUUCUGAAGUUCUACCAUCAAUAUUGUAGUGGUUAUUAAGGUCAACAGUGUUAAGAAGUAUUACUGUCAUCAAGCCAUCAUCGUUAUGUUUUUAUAACUUUAUGGUGAAGUAUCUAAUCCAUUACCAGCUCAAUCAC